CUCGAGGCCAGAUCUUUCCGGUUGAUCCCGCCGGACCUGACUGCUAUCGGAUUGGUACUAAGCCAUGCGAGUCAUUGUAGCAAUACAAGGCAGACGGCUCAGUAACACGUAGUCAACCUACCCUAUGGACGGGGAUAAUCUCGGGAAACUGAGAAUAAUACCCGAUAGAUCAUUGUGCCUGGAAUGGCUAAUGGUUGAAAUGAUUUAUCGCCGUAGGAUGGGACUGCGGCCUAUCAGUUUGUUGGCGGGGUAAUGGCCCACCAAGACUAUUACAGGUACGGGCUCUGAGAGGAGAGGCCCGGAGAUGGGUACUGAGACACGGACCCAGGCCCUAUGGGGCGCAGCAGGCGAGAAACCUUUGCAAUGUGCGAAAGCACGACAAGGUUAAUCCGAGUGUUUUCUGCUAAAGAAAUCUUUUGUCAGUCCUAAAAACACUGAUGAAUAAGGGGUGGGCAAGUUCUGGUGUCAGCCGCCGCGGUAAAACCAGCACCUCAAGUGGUCAGGAGGUUUAUUGGGCCUAAAGCAUCCGUAGCCGGCUAUGCAAGUUUUCGGUUAAA
rnacentral:rRNA from 1 species